GCCGUCGUUACUGGGGAGCUGCAGAAACAGAAGAGCGGCUGCGUAAGGAUGUGUUCUGCAGAACCGAGAGGUUUGGCUGAGUAACAAUAGGAUAAGGGACGUUUCUGAUGAGUGAUCUGAGUCCUGGCUAGAUCACAGAGCAAAGAAGUCACCUGAACUUCUGGAAACUGCACUCUGCUCUCUGCUGGAUUUCCAGCCCGCAGAGCAGAGCUGGCAGUGCGGGACAGCCCCGCGGGGACGGGGAGCAGGCGCCGCGCUGAGACCCUCCGGCCACGGCGUGGUGUGGGGACACCGCACAGCCACAUCCUGCUGCCUGUCCCUGCUGCAGCAUGGCAUUCAGCUGGGAAACUGCGACUGUGUGUGUGACUGCUCCACGCAGCACCUUGUCACCCAGGUGAAGCCCAAAGGGAAAGUAACUUUUGGGGAACCUUGCUGGCAAUGUCUUCUCAGCAUAUCCAGAGACUUAACUAAAGGCUCAUGCCUUAUCCGCCAUCACAUGUGAAAACUGGUGCAACCCAAGGGCUGCGGCAGCCUUGCCUGGCUGGGAAAGAUCCACUGUUUGCAGUGGCUGGGAUUGUUUUGCAUGUGUCCAAGAGAACUAAUGAGACAUUGAAAAAAAUCCCCAAGUGGAUAAAUCCCCAGCCUGGAUAAAUUGGUAACUGCAGGAAAAUGUUUGAAACUAAACUCAAAUAAAUAGUGAAAGCUUACCUUCAGAACUGAACAGCUUUCUUCUAGCCGGUACAUAUCUUCUUUAACUAUGGUCAUACACACAGAUAUGUUCAGCUUUUUUAGCUCGUCAAUAAACAUGGUGGUGGUGUUGUGUG